UCCAUAGGCCCCGGACAGGCUCUGAAUUUCUUUUUGUCCGAUCCAUGCGAAGGUAAAAACGCGACUUUGUGCGAGCCUGUCUAUCUGGCGGUGUAUUUCUCGACGACAAACUGCGCAUGUACAGAACGUACAUGUGAGUUGCCGAGUCAGAUCAAGUUCACAAUACAGAAAGGCACUAGUCUGGCUACUCGUCACCAAACCCCACUCGCCUUCGUCCUCGCGGCAAUCCUGGCGCUAGCUUACAAUUACUAAAAGCACUUUUACUCUACGACAACAAUACACUAAACAUCAACAACAUGUGAAACAUAUAACAAUAAACAACAAAAGCAACAUGUAAAACAUUAAACGAUACACUCAACAACAACAACAUGUUCACCAAAUAACAAUACACUUAACAACAAGAUGUGUAGAAUAUAACAACGGCCACAAAGUCUGUGUGAACAAUAAAGUGUAUGAUUUUCCGUCAACUCGCCACAACCAACUCGUCACUCCUUUGGAGAGUUGGCGGAUGGUGCUGGCGGCGAGUUGGCCGGAUACCAGUCGCAUCUGAAAGAGUUUGGUAUAAACAGUGGUAGCUUCAACAUCUAAUAACACUGAUAUUAGAUGCACAUCUAAUAACAUCUAAUAACAAAUGACAACGUUAAAUAUCCCUUACUUGUUUUUAUUUUCUUGUAAUAAUCAUUACACGUACAAUAAGGUUGAAGAGUUUGCUUACAAAUAAAAUUUACAUUCGUGUUA